GUGCCAGCCGCCGCGGUAAUACGGAGGGUGCAAGCAUUAAUCGGAAUUAUUGGGCGUAAAGGGCGCGUAGGCGGAACUGUAAGUCAGAUGUGAAAUACCGAAGCUUAACUUCGGUGCUGCAUUUGAAACUACGGAUCUAGAGGAUAGACGGAGAAAACGGAAUUCCACAUGUAGCGGUGAAAUGCGUGGAUAUGUGGAAGAACACCUGUGGCGAAAGCGGUUUUCUAGUUUAUUCCUGACGCUGAGGCGCGAGAGCAAGGGGAGCGAACAGGAUUAGAUACCCUGGUAGUCCUUGCCGUAAACGAUGUAUACUUGAUGUAGUUGGACUCAACCCCGACUGUGUCGUAGCUAACGCGAUAAGUAUACCGCCUGAGGAGUACGCUCGCAAGGGUGAAACUCAAAGAAAUUGGCGG
rnacentral:rRNA from 1 species